UGCGCGGGGGGGGGCUUGCAGAAGCCCAAGCAUUAACGCUCCUCCGUGUCCUCCGCAGGGGGAAACGGGACCUUUGGGACCACCGGGGCUCCCAGGGCUGCCCGGAGACCCCGGAGAGCAGGGCCCCGCGGGACGGCCGGGGCUGCCAGGAGCCGAUGGGAUCCGCGGCCCCGCCGGGACCAUGAUCAUGCUGCCGGUAGGGACUGGGACGUGGGGCUGGGGGGGGGCAGCUGGCCUCACCCCCCCCUGCCCUCACCCCACUCCUCUCCCAGUUCCAGUUUGGGGGAGACUCCCUCAAGGGCCCCACCGUCUCCUUCCAAGAAGCCCAAGCCCAGGCGAUCCUGCAGCAGGCGAAGGUCAGGACCCCCGCGCCCACCCCCAGCGGCUCAGCCUCCCCCCCCCUCCCGCCUCACCCCUCUCCUCCUUUCCCUCCCCAGCUUGCCAUGAAGGGCCCCCCCGGCCCCAUGGGGCUCACCGGCCGCCCGGGUCCGCUGGGUCUGCCAGGACACCCGGGCCUGAAAGGGGACGCAGGGGACAUGGGGCCGCGGGGUCCCCGGGGACUGCAGGGACCCCCGGGACCACCGGGGAAGCUGGGCAGACGGGGUCGCGCUGGAGCAGACGGUGCCAGGGGACUCCCGGGGGACACCGGACCCAAGGUGCUUGGGGUGCCAGGAUGCCCACGGCCCCCUUUUUUUUUUUGGGGAGGGGGCCGUGGGCUCAUCUUGUGCCCCACAGGGUGACCGGGGCUUCGAUGGUUUGCCGGGGCUACCGGGGGAGAAAGGGCCACAGGGUAAGUGCCACCGCGCCGCGUCCCCUCCUGCCACCACCCGUCCCCGUGUCCCCUCACCUCCUCUCCGUCCCCUAG
rnacentral:lncRNA from 1 species